UCUAUGCGGGAAGAAUAACCACGCGUAACCUGUGGCUAAGAGUGUAGAAUAAGGUGCAAUCCUAUUAGUUUGUUGGUAGUGUAAAGGACUACCAAGGCAGUGAUGGGUAACGGGAAAUCAGGGUUUGAUUCCGGAGAGGGAGCCUGAGAGAUGGCUCCCACGUCCAAGGAUGGCAGCAGGCGCGAAAAUUGUCCACUCUUUUGAGAGGAGACAGUUAUGAAACGUGAGUAGAAGGGUCGAGUGUAAAAACCUUGACGUGAAGCAAUUGGAGGGCAAGUUUUGGUGCCAGCAGCCGCGGUAAUUCCAACUCCAAGAGUGUCUAUGGUGGAUGCUGCAGUUAAAGGGUCCGUAGUCGUAGAUGCAAUUAAAAGGUGGUGUUAAAAGCCAUUGAGUUUGUUGAGAGUAGCGGAACGGAUAGGGAGCAUGGUAUAGGUGGGCAAAGAAUGAAAUCUCAAGACCCCAC
rnacentral:rRNA from 1 species